GACGCCGAUAUUCGACGUCAUAAACACGAACAACUUUGGUGUUGAUGACGUCGAUAUUCGACGUCAUAAAACGAACAACUUUGGUGUUUAUGACGUCGAUAUUCGACGUCAUAAACACGAACAACUUUGGUGUUUAUUAGGUCGAUAUUCGACGUUUGGUGUUUUUGACGUCGUUAUUCGACGUCAUAAACACGAACAACUUUGGUGUUUAUGACGUCGAUAUUCGACGUCAUAAACACGAACAACUUUGGUGUUUAUGACGUCGAUAUUCGACGUC